AUUGAACGCUGGCGGCAUGCCUAAUACAUGCAAGUCGAGCGGCGCUUCGGACGGGUGAGUACUGCCUAGGAAUCUGCCUGUUAGUGGGGUCUACCGUCCGGAGACGGGCCCUUUUACCGCAUACUAGCAGAUGAGUCUAGGUCGUAUUAGCUAGUUGGUGGUGUAAUGGCCUACCAAGGCGACGAUCCGUAACUGAACUGAGAGGAUGAUCAGUCACACUGGAACUGAGACACGGUCCAGACGCCUACGGGAGGCAGCAGUGGGGAAUAUUGGACAAUGGGCGAAAGCCUGACCCAGCCAUGCCGCGUGGGUGAAGAAGGUCUUCGGAUUGUAAAGCUCUGUAAGUUGGGAGGCGUUACCAACAGAGUAAGCAACGGCUAACUUCGUGCCAGCAGCCGCGGUAAUAC
rnacentral:rRNA from 1 species